AAUAAUUUUUGUUUCUGAUCAGGGAAAGAAGAUAAAAAUGUGUAUUUCAAGGUGUGACUUAAAAGACCUUUCUAUUGCUUAUGUUGAGGAGGAAGAAGAGAAGAAUUGAGCUGGAAGAUUGAAGUUGGAAACAAGGAGAGGAUGCUUGGAAAUGGGUCAUCCAGCAGGGGACCAGUGUAAAGAUCAGAGUGUACCGGGAUGCCUAGAUGAAAAUGGAGAAGGUCUUGGCAAGAAAGAAAGAGGAUGGAUGUAUCAGGAGCAUCAUGAAGGACUUCUAAAGUGAAAUAUGCAGUAGCAAAGUAGCAGGCAUCGUCUACCAGAGAGAAAAGAGUAUUCUUGAGUCCUUGGUGUUUGCAACCCAAAACAAGGAUGUGGCCACUCUUUCUUGGACUGAAUAUUGAGUAGACUGUGGAGGAGGAAUUGGCAUAAAACUGUUCCUUCCUUUUCUUGUCCUGCAUCUGCUCCUAUCUGUUUUCCCAGACCUGUAAGAGAGGAAUGUAAGAGAAAAAGCUAAUUCACCCUAUGGCAGUGGUUCUCAACUCUGGCUCAUGUGAGUAUCAUGAGGGUGAGUGGGGUAGGGAAGAUACUCCUAGAGUUCUGACUUCAUUUUUUCUGGAUGGGUUCUGGGCAUUUAUGGCUUCGAUUCAAGCAGAGUUGAGAACCAACUGGUCUACAUACUUUCCCCCUCACAUCAUACACUUGACAUUUUGAAAAAUUCUGUAUCACUUCACAUUUUUAGGUUGCCAUAUAAAAUAUUUCGGCAUAAGUUUAAGUAGCUUCAAUAAUGUACUCUUCUACGUAUUACAAAUGUCGAUAUUUUAAAAUAAAGCAAAUAAAUAAUCACAUGAGUCUGUGAAACCAGAGACUAGGGGAUUGGAUACCUGUCUACCGUUACCCAUUUAAGAAAUAGAUGAAUAAGCCUUCUUUUAACUCUUGGACAUUUUACAUUAUUCCUUUUCCUCCUCGAACUCCUACUUCUAUUCAGUUUCUCUCACAGAACUUUUGGUUUAUUGAUUAUUUCAUCAUUUUUCUCUGUAAC